CUUACAAGACAAACAUACCAAACUCUAAAAUUGCUCCACUUUGAAACAAUAUUUUACUCCUUGUAUUUUGUAAUCCUUAACUAUCAAAAAUAAACUGAAAUUCUAGACAUAUUGUGUACUCUGUAAAUCCUGACAUAUAAAUGAAUGUGUUGUAAUUUUUUAAAAUAUAUUUUUGCAUUUAUUUGUAUUUUUUUUUAUAAUCAGAAGUUGUGUAUGUAUAUGUUACAUCAAAUUAAAGCCCUUUAUGUCCUUUAACAGAUGUUAUGUAACAUGUAUGGGGUCACCUGAAGAAAAACCCUUAAAGGGACACUAUAGUCACCCAGACCACUUCAGCUCGAUGAAGGGGUCUGGGUGCCAGGUCCCUCGGGUUUUAACCCUUCAGAUGCAAAGAUAGCAGUUUCAGAGAAACUGUUAUGUUUACAUUUGGGGUUAAGCCAGCCUCUAGUGGCUGUCUUCCGUAUAGCCACCAGAGGCGCAUCUGCCACGCUGGAGGCAUAUUAUGCCUCCAUCACGCAGAGCGCUCAUGGGAAAGCAUUGAGAAAUGCUUUCCUAUGGACACUUUGAAUGUGCGCGCGGCACUUGCCAUGAACGCACAUUCGGCUCCGCUGAAGUUGGCAGAGGGAGCUGACGUCUGAGGGGGAGGAGAGGUCACCAGCGCCGAGGGAGCCCGGCGCUGGAUUAAGGUAAGAUGCUGAAGGGGUUUUAACCCCUUCAGCGCCACGGGAGGGGGACCCUGAAUGUGGGGCUCUUGCGGCGCAUGCGCAUUCGGCCGAUGACGUCGGAAGGAGGAGGAGAGUCCCGAGCGCCGUGGGAGCCAGCACAGGAGAGAGGUAAGGGAUGAACCCCUUCCUCCCCCUUCAGCCCGGCAGGAGGGGGGCCAUGAAGGUGGGGGAACCCUCAGGGCACUAUAGUGCCAGGAAAACGAGUUUGUUUUCCUGUCACUAUAGUGAUCCUUUAAAUUACGGUGGAACAAACCUAUUGCUCAAAUUCAAGGUUUUGUUUUUGUCCAGAACUUAGAAAACUCGCCUCUGUCCUUAAGAGAUUAAAAAUUGUGAAGUCCACAUGAAAAUUUCUUUUCAACAGCUCAGCAGUUCAUUUUACAUAUAUUUUAAAUAGUGCAUAUGGCUCUCUUGUUUCAAACAUAUUUGUUGUUUGUCACAUCCAUGUUAUUUUUAAUAUAUUUCAUAUUUUAACUUAUUUUCUAACAUUUUUUAGUGAUAGGCUGAGUUUAUUAUGGCAUGUCACUAGAAAAUAGACUGAAUGAAAAGUAUGACUAAAAUAUAUGAUCUCUACAUUCAUAGUAAUGAGCAGAUAUUUUUUUUUUUUUCACAGCUAUAUAUAACUAGGUCAAGUGAAAGGUC